UACGUAGGGGGGCAAGCGUUGUCCGGAAUUAUUGGGCGUAAAGAGCGCGUAGGCGGUCCGAUAAGUCGGCUGUGAAAGUCAGGGGCUCAACCCUUGAAAGCCGGCCGAUACUGUCGGACUAGAGUCCGGAAGAGGCGAGUGGAAUUCCCGGUGUAGCGGUGAAAUGCGCAGAUAUCAGGAGGAACACCGAUGGCGAAGGCAGGUCUCUGGGCAUUAACUGACGCUGAGGAGCGAAAGCAUGGGGAGCGAACAGG
rnacentral:rRNA from 1 species